UGUGAUUUUAGUAAAAAUGACUAGUAUUAUUGAGGAUUCUAUGAGAAAUGAAGAGGAUAAUUCGGGCUUGACGGAAUUUAAGAAUGGAUCUGAAGCAGACACGGAACAGUACGAUCAUUGCGUGAUUCCAGUCAGCAAUGGUCGACAUAGACUAUUGAAAAACCAAGAAGGUUAUGAAAAUGUAUCUCUUGAUCUAGAUCAUCAACGAACAUAAUGGUAAAGUGGCAAUAGGCACCACUUCUAUUGUUGCUUCUUGAACCACUUCAUGCUUAAGGCAAGUCAUACGAUAUCCAUAAACAUCGGUCCAGAAUUCAACCAGUUCAGCAUGGCGAUCUACAAGAAAGCCCAGAUUGUAAAUACUGUGAAGACAAAUAGCAUUGAAUAUUUCAAGAUGUCAAAGAAGUCAUCACUAUGGAGAUUAAGAAUCAACUUCAGAGAUGAAAUAAUGGAAUUUGUACAAAAAACAGAAGUUAAGCAGCGGACACAGGCCAAAAAUGGAAAAGGCUUUACAGAAAGUGAACUCAUUAUGUGAAUAACGUCAAUGGAUGAUAACUUGAACACUAAGGAUUCUUAAGAUGGUGAAUUAUACUUAGUAUUAGUGAUAGUUUUCUGAGCUUGUCCAUCAUCCAAUAUUCUAAACCUGGACACAACGUUUUGGAAGCUGGAUCUCCUCCCAUCCUCAGGUGCAGGGUACCUACUUAGAUGGCUCCAUUAGGAGCAGCUAGUCCCAAUCACUGGACAUCCUUUCUAGCCCCCCCCCCCACCUCAGGUUGCGAGCCUAUCUGGCACGUGAAUCAGGUUCUGGUUUAGAAUAUUGGAUGAUGGACAAAGUUCAGAAAGCUAGUAAUAUUAAAUUUAGGGUAUACACAUGUUCAAAUUUUUGUUCAUUUCAUUUCAAGGCUAAUAAAUUCUGUUGUCAAUGGGAGUAAAUU